CCUACGGGUGGCUGCCGUGGGGAAUAUUGGACAAUGGGCGAAAGCCUGAUCCAGCCAUGCCGCGUGUGUGAAGAAGGCCUUCGGGUUGUAAAGCACUUUCAGUGGGGAAGAAAGCCUUGGGGCUAAUACCCUCGAGGAAGGACAUCACCCACAGAAGAAGCACCGGCUAACUCCGUGCCAGCAGCCGCGGUAAUACGGAGGGUGCGAGCGUUAAUCGGAAUUACUGGGCGUAAAGCGCGCGUAGGCGGUCUGAUAAGCCGGUUGUGAAAGCCCCGGGCUCAACCUGGGAACGGCAUCCGGAACUGUCCGGCUAGAGUGCAGGAGAGGAAGGUAGAAUUCCCGGUGUAGCGGUGAAAUGCGUAGAGAUCGGGAGGAAUACCAGUGGCGAAGGCGGCCUUCUGGACUGACACUGACGCUGAGGUGCGAAAGCGUGGGUAGCAAACAGGAUUAGAUACCCCAGUAGUC
rnacentral:rRNA from 1 species